rnacentral:sRNA from 1 species
UGGCCGGGCCGGGGCCCCCAGCGGGGAGAGAGCCGGCCAGUUCCUGGGUCGCAGGGGCCUCCAGCGGCCGAGGUCGGCGCUUCGGGCGACGUUGGGCUCCUCCUGGCACCCUGACGUGCAGCAGGCCCAGGCCACGGUUCGCGGAGAGCGUCGGGCGCUAGUCCUCAAGGUCUCCCGGCUCUGCCCUUGCAGAGCUCAGUGGGGGAGACGUGCGUGCGCUUCCCUCGGGCAGGGCCGCUGCCCUCCUCUGCCCUUCACCCCAGACACCCUGGGGCAGUGGGGCCUCCUCUCCUCCGGUUGCUUCUGCUUUUCCUAACCCAGUGCCCUCCCGAGACCACAGGAGACUCAGUCUGGCCACUGUGGCCUCCCCGUGACCAUGACCCAGAGUUUGGACAGCCCUGCAGGGCUGGACGUUUGGCUUUGGCUCAGUUCCUCCACCGUUCCCUUCAUUUAUCCUGUGCAUCUCCCAGGCCUGUGGAUUUUGCUGUGGCCCCAAGCCGGCCCGAAGGCUCUUGGAGAGGUGGUAGGGUCAUGGCCUGAGGCGGUGCUGGGGAGGAGAGCUCGGGCCAGGAGUUCAGGGCAGCUACAGGUGGGGGGGUGCCGAGCCACCCUCAGCCUGCUCCCUGCCUACCUCUCAGACAGGUGUGGAGGCCUGUGGGGACAGGUGUGGAGGCUCCAGCGGGGCGGGGGCUCUCUGGGGCUCCAUCCCAGUGAGUGCCCCUCUCAGCUGAGGAGAAACCGAGAGCGGCGCUGGGGCACCUGAGCCCAGGAAGGCAACAGGCCGGCCGGGACCGCGAGUGCCUGGCGGAGCAGGCGCAGCCCAGGACUCCCGGCUCCCACCUCCGGCUGUAGUCCAGGGCCAAGGCUUGUGUUCAAUCGUGUGAAUGGCCGGCGGGCCCCCUCCACGUCCCCAUCCCUCGAGGGGACCCAGGAGACCUACACACUGGCCCACGAGGAGAAUGUCCGCUUUGUGUCCGAAGCCUGGCAGCAGGUGCAGCAGCAGCUGGAUGGUGGCCCAGCCGGUGAGGGCGGGCCAAGGCCUGUGCAGUACGUGGAGAGGAUCCCCAAUCCCCGGCUGCAGAACUUCGUGCCCAUUGACCUAGACGAGUGGUGGGCGCAGCAGUUCCUGGCGAGAAUCACCAGCUGUUCCUAGUGGCUGCUGGGAGGGGGCGCUGCUACACGGCUGACCUGACGCCAGGAGAGAAGCAUGGCGCCCUGCCCACCCACUGCAUCUGGCUGGGUGCCGGCCACACCUGAAGUGCCAGCAUUUGGACUUUUGCACCUGUUUUUCCCUUGGCCCGGCUGUCCCAACCAAGCUGCCAUGGCCAGGGGCCGAGCCCGUCUGACCUCAGCCCUGCUCACUGUGCCCAGGGACCAGCGACCAGCCCCUGGGGCUAGCA